GCCGGGUGUGGUGGCACACGCCUGUAAUCCCAGCUACUAGGGAGGCUGAGGCAGGAGAAUUGCUUGAACCUGGGAGGCGGAGGUUGCAGUGAGCCAAGACCAUGCCAUUGCACUCCAGCCUGGGCAACAGAGUGAGACUUUGUCUCAAAAAAAAAAUUAUUAUGUAUUGUUAUUAUUAUUCUUUUUGUUUUUUGCCCUUCUCUAAAACUGGUAGAUAACUUAUUUUUGAGACAAGGUCUUGCUCUGUUGCCCAGGCUGGAGUGCAGUGGUAUGAUGAUUGCUCACUGCAACCUCCAACUCCUGGGUUCAAGCGAUCGUCUUGCCUCA
ensembl:misc_RNA Metazoa_SRP Metazoan signal recognition particle RNA